rnacentral:rRNA from 1 species
UACGUAGGGUGCAAGCGUUGUCCGGAAUUAUUGGGCGUAGAGAGCUCGUAGGCGGUCUGUUGCGUCGGCUGUGAAAACCCGGGGCUCAACUCCGGGCCUGCAGCCGAUACGGGCAGACUAGAGUUCGGCAGGGGAGACUGGAAUUCCUGGUGUAGCGGUGAAGUGCGCAGAUAUCAGGAGGAACACCGGUGGCGAAGGCGGGUCUCUGGGCCGAUACUGACGCUGAGGAGCGAAAGCGUGGGGAGCGAACAGG